rnacentral:lncRNA from 10 species
GCUAGAAUGUAAAUGGGACAAGCAGAUGAAAACAAAAUGGGAGAUGCCUGAAUAGCUCAAACUAAGUUCCUUAUUUUUAUUUUUAUUUGAGACAGGGUCUCACUGUGUCGCCCAGGCUGGAGUGCAGCGGCACGACCACAGCCCACUGCAGCCUUAACCUCCUGGGCUCAAGCAAUCCUCCCAUCUCAGCCUUCCUAGUAGCUGGGAUUACAGGUACAGAACCCUGGUAUUUCUAUUUAAUUAAUGGAUUUCUGAAUUUCAAUGUAGCCUUUGCUUUGGCUCUCCUAGUCCUACCACUGACUUCUCUUAUGGAAUACCUGCUGCAGAGAUUUCAUGUUCAGAAUUUAGGCCACCCGUAUUGGCUUACCUUGGCUCCAAUGUAUAUUUGGUUUAUAAUUUUCUUCAUCCAGCCUCACAAAGAGGAGAGAUUUCUUUUCCCUGUGUAUCCACUUAUAUGUCUCUGUGGCGCUGUGGCUCUCUCUGCACUUCAGAAAUGUUACCACUUUGUGUUUCAACGAUAUCGCCUGGAGCACUAUACUGUGACAUCGAAUUGGCUGGCAUUAGGAACUGUCUUCCUGUUUGGGCUCUUGUCAUUUUCUCGCUCUGUGGCACUGUUCAGAGGAUAUCACGGGCCCCUUGAUUUGUAUCCAGAAUUUUACCGAAUUGCUACAGACCCAACCAUCCACACUGUCCC